rnacentral:rRNA from 1 species
GACGAACGCUGGCGGCGUGCUUAACACAUGCAAGUCGAACGGUAAGGCCCUUCGGGGUACACGAGUGGCGAACGGGUGAGUAACACGUGGGUGAUCUGCCCUGCACUUCGGGAUAAGCCUGGGAAACUGGGUCUAAUACCGGAUAGGACUCCGGACUGCAUGGUCUGGGGUGGAAAGCUUUUGCGGGGUGGGAUGGGUCCGCGGCCUAUCAGCUUGUUGGUGGGGUGAUGGCCUACCAAGGCGGCGACGGGUAGCCGGCCCGGGAGGGUGACCGGCCGAACUGGGACGGAGAUACGGCCCAGACUCCUACGGGAGGCAGCAGUGGGGAAGAUUGCACAAUGGGCGCAAGCCUGAUGCAGCGACGCCGCGUGAGGGAUGACGGCCUUCGGGUUGUAAACCUCUUUCAGCAUCGACGAAGCGAAAGUGACGGUAGGUGCAGAAGAAGGACCGGCCAACUACGUGCCAGCCGCCGCGGUAA